rnacentral:rRNA from 1 species
AUUGAACGCUGGCGGCAUGCCUUACACAUGCAAGUCGAACGGUAACAGGUCUUCGGAUGCUGACGAGUGGCGAACGGGUGAGUAAUACAUCGGAACGUGCCUAGUAGUGGGGGAUAACUACUCGAAAGAGUGGCUAAUACCGCAUGAGAUCUACGGAUGAAAGCAGGGGAUCGCAAGACCUUGUGCUACUAGAGCGGCCGAUGGCAGAUUAGGUAGUUGGUGGGAUAUAAGCUUACCAAGCCGACGAUCUGUAGCUGGUCUGAGAGGACGAUCAGCCACACGGGGACUGAGACACGGCCCAGACUCCUACGGGAGGCAGCAGUGGGGAAUUUUGGACAAUGGGCGCAAGCCUGAUCCAGCAAUGCCGCGUGCAGGAUGAAGGCCUUCGGGUUGUAAACUGCUUUUGUACGGAACGAAAAGCCCCGGGUUAAUACCCUGGGGUCAUGACGGUACCGUAAGAAUAAGCACCGGCUAACUACGUGCCAGCCGCCGCCGUAA